UCCAUACACUCUUUUCCUUACCUUUUCUUUCUCUCUCUUUUCCUCCCUCUACACCGUGAGCUUCUCUUUAUCCAAAACUCAAGCUUUUUCACUUAGAUGUUCAGAUCUACUCACUUCGGGUCAUCCUCUCGCCUUGGUCCUUUGGAAUAGAUUGAAGAUCUCGCCGAGGGCUUUCUCUCGAACCAAGAAGUUUGUGAUUUCGUUACUGUUGAUUUUCCUGGAUUCUCCUCUUCGCUUCAAGAGGUGCUUCAGAGGCAUCAGCAAAGAAUCAAGGAGUUUUGUGGUGGUUUAUAUAUAUAGAUUAAUUGUUGGCAAAGUGCCCAUGUAUUGGAAAGAGAAUGUAUGUCUGUUCGAGAGAGAUACUUAUUCUGUGAUGUCAGCCUAAGGGCAUGUAUGGUAAUAAAAUGUAGAAGUGUGACAUUGACCCUAAGUUGAUGGAUCUAAGGGUAAAAGAGCUUGAGAGCUAAAAAAAUGGCAGAAGUGAGAGAAAGGGAGAGAAAUGAGCAGAAAAAGUGGAUUUUUACGUGCAUUCAAGUCUUAAAUGGACUGAUCAUUGCGGGCACCAAUGACACCGUCGUAGGUGUGACCUUACUCAUCGCAGGUGCAACCAUGAGAGUGACGGGCCACUCUCACGGGCGCUAGGAUUUUCAUAGACAAAGUACUGGGACAUAUUUUUGGUUAUGGCGAUCGCCUAGCAGAGAAAUUUCUAGUUCGAUGUUCUGAAGCUAUUCCAAGGCAUUCCAAGGCCAAAUCUCGACAAGGCAAGGCAAAAGUCAAUCAAAACAAAUACAUACUCCAAACGAAAAGGCAAAAAGAGUCAGGUUUUGACCCAAGCUGUUACAGAUCUGAGGAGGUGGUGGUAGAGGUGGACAUUCUUUUUGCCAAAAAACGGUUGAAUAAAUGUCACUGGAGAUUGAAGGUGGACGCCGACGACGAGGGAGACACAACAGUACUGAAGAAGGUGAAGGGAAAGUAUUUUGGGAUACUGAUAGGUAAAAUAAAAUAUAAAAAAAAUGAGUAGAACUCAUUAAGUAAACAAGUUCAAACAGCAUGAAAGUGUCUGUCCUUUUGUUACCAAAAAAAAUGGUGAGAGACAAUGUGGUGCCUAUUAAAUUUUUAAAAAUUUAUAUUUUAAUUUUAUUGUUUUAAAAUUAAUAUUUUAAUUACGAGUAUUCUAAUUUAGUAUAAAUAGUAUAAAAUUAUUUAGUUUUAUGAUUUGAAAUUACUUAAUUUUUCUACUUUAUUAAUUUUGAUUUAAUUUAAUUUUCUAUUUUCCAACUUCUUGUUCUUCAAUGACAAAAUUUAAUAUAAAUAAUGGUUGUUUAACUCAAGCACAAACGAAAGAACUACAACGGAGUCGUGCAAGAAACUGAACUAGUGCUUGUCAUCAUCCCAAAAUCAAAAAAAAUAAAAAAUUAUGUAAUAAAUAUUAAGGCCUCGUUUGAGAAUUGAUUAUUUUAGUUGGUUUUUAAUUUUUUAUAACA